rnacentral:misc_RNA from 1 species
ACAUUCUUCCUUAUCCUGUAAGCGCAAGCGAGAGAAGUAGAGAACGUGCGCCAAGAGGAGGGCAAAGGGGAGCAUGAGAGAGGGAGUGAGAGCCGGAUGGAGUAGGAUAGAAAUGCAGGGCGCGAGACCGCGCGACGCUUUCAGUCACCGCCCGAUCCUCGGCGCGCACGGUUUUGGAGCGGGUGGUUCUCCAUCGUGGAAAUAGAAUCGGCGACUUAAAUGGAAAUCUUUCGAGCGACGAGAAUCGUGUGAUCAGCGUAUGUAGUGCACGCAUCGGACGCAAAAUAUAAUAGAAUAGAGUGGCACGAUUGUGCUGGAAAAAUCGACAAUCGAAAGUAUGCGGGUAUACUGCGAUUCCGAGACUUCGAUGUGAAAUUAACUUCUAAAAAGUGCAGUGAGAAUCGAAGGAAAAGAUGUGAUUAAAUUUCAUUAUUAUAUACAGAUAAAAACGUGAUGGUAAACGCAAAAGAAAUUGGGACCAAUCGGAAUGUAAAUGCGAGGACUCAUUAAUUUCGGCGUAAGAAUUUUAUGAAAACUUAUUAUUUCCCUGUUUUAAUUUCUGUCGAUUUUUUCGAUCGAAAUGAUAUUCAUUCGUUGAAAAUCUACAUCGAUCAUGUAACAGCGAAGCGGCGUCUCAUCGGCGAGAAACUGUAUCAGAAGUUACGCGGGUGUGUUUCAGAAUUAAGUGAUGUGAGAGGAACGACUUUUUCCAGUCGGUGAUUUUUAAUUAUUUAGGAACUUUUAGUGCAUCCGUAGAUGUAUGUGUAAUGUGAACAUACGGACAAAUAACUCCAACGUUGCCCGCGGAUUUGUCAUGGCGAAAUGAAGGACUUCGAGCGUCUCUGCUAGACUGAGAGUAGUUAGAUUGACUCACGGCCUCAUCUUGCAGCUUCAUUCGACAUCAUUAUGACAAAGCAACCGUGUCAAUUUUUGUGCCAAGAAGCGCGAUGAUUGCCAGAAAUUCUUGGAAACAACGGCGGCCAUUUGAGGGAAGGUGAACGAGAUGGAGCAAGUUCCUGGGGGUUGAGAUCGCGUGGAUCUUUGAGAUGACCGUUUGGAGAAUGCAGCCGACCACUUCGAUGCUCGGCGUCAUCGCCAUUGUCUCCGUCAUGAUUACUGUCACUACGUCAGAAGCGGAGAACGGCACCAUCGAGCGUGGCAUUAAUCAUCUCGAUGAGGAAGAUCAACGCUCCGACGAGAGAAUCGCAAAGAAUCACACUGUCGAGAUCACUGGCUGGUCUCGCAGCAACGACACGACAGCUCUCGAGGAAGUUAUUUCACCUUUCACGGUUGAGUAUCCAACUUCAACAAAGGAUUCGCUCUCGCUCGUUACCACGGUGGAUUCUCAUUUCGAGAAUGCAUCGAAAAAACACGUAGACGAUCAGAUGAUAUUCGCCUCAAAGAGGAUCGAAGACUCGGAACAGGCGGAAGAGGCUCCGGCGAAGAGGCUGGACCACGGUGACGUUCGAGGGACAAACGAUUCCACGAUAGAAAAGUCGAAAGACGACUCGCCGACGGUGAUAUCAGUGGAAAAGGAUGAAGAUGUUACGGAAGCGAGGUACGGCGAGCAGAGAAACGUGCAAGAUAUCAGGGCGAUCUCGUUCCAAGUACCACCGCCAGACGAGAAGGAGGAAGACUAUCAAGACAGCCGACAACAGGGGAAGACUAGCGUCAGCUAUAUGAAUGAAACGAGGAAACUCGGUGAGACCAGGAAAAAUCAGUCUAGACCGGCGAAUAACUUGCUGGUUCCCGGCAAGUCGACGAAGGCCUUCUACGAGAUUAAACCGUCGAUCAGGACUCUCGAAACGGAACGCGGUCGUGAUCAUCAGUUUCAGAUAACUACUCACAGGACGUUACCGGGCAGGAAGUUCGUCUUGCCCAGCGUCGAUAGCGCCUUCGGAAAAUUCGGCCCAUAUUUCGAGGACGGUGACCGGGAGAUAAACGUAACCGCGAGAAUCGGCAGUACCGUUUUGUUGGACUGCAAGAUCGGCAUGCUAAGCGAUAAGAAGGUAACGUGGUUGCAGCAUAAUAAGGACUUCUUUCGUCUGUUGACAGUAGGCAGAGUACCAUACAGUAACGACCAAAGAAUCAGUCUUAAUUUUCGAUAUCCCAGCAAUUGGAGAUUGCAGAUACUGUACGCGAAUCCACGUGACUCGGGAUUGUAUCAAUGCCAAGUUGCCACGCAUCCGCCGCUGGUUAAGAAAAUCAACGUUGUCGUUACGGCGCCAAUUCUGACGAUCAGUGACGAUUCUGGACGUAUAGUUUCUAAAGAAAGACACCUAAAAGCAGGCAGUGUCCUCAGGCUCAGAUGUGAGGCAAGGGACGUACUCGAGUCGUUUAACGAGUCCGUCAUUUGGACCAGAGGAGACGAGACCCUUACAGAGGAUAUUAGUGAGAACAGAACGACAGAGAUCUCAGCGGGCAAGGAGGUCCUUGUGAUCGUCAGUACUCUCAUCGUGGAGAGAGCGAGCCCCAGGCAUGCGGGGAACUAUAGCUGCAUGGUACCCGGCAAAGCCAAGACCACCGUCGCGGUCCACGUUCUCAACGGUGAACUGCCUGCUGCUGUGCACGACGGGAAUGGAGUUUCGAGAGCAUUCCUUAAUCUUUGGUUGGUUCAUCUGACGAUGAGCUAUGUCUUCACCAGAUGACAGUAUUAAGAUUAUUCCUAUAACUUCUGGAUUCGCAAUUCGGAUGCAUUCGCAGGGCAUGAGACGUUGCGGAACGGGCGUGGACAGGCCAGAUGCGCAGAUGCAGCAAUGUAGCUCGGUGCAAUGAUUGUAUAUUCUUUAUCGAGUUUACGCGCCAUCACCUCUAUCGUUGGCGAGCCGGUGCACGUAAAAAACGCAUCGCGUAAUUUGAACUUUUUUCAAUAAUACCGAACAAUAAUCGUACGAUUUUUCGCGUCGCAAUGUUAGUAAUUCAAGACGGAUUUUUUCGUGCGUAUACGUAAUUUUGAGGAGCUUGAAAAUUGCAAACUCGUAGUGAUGAUUCCGAUGUGAAUUGAAAUAACAGAUGAAAAUUAGAACAGGCACUUUCAAGGAUCUCGAGAAGAUGGCGAACAGAAGAUUCUUCAUCGAGAGAAAAAUUUAUUACAGUGGGCCACUAGUGUACAGUUUAUUAAUUUACUUUCGUUCAGAUAAGUCGAGAAAAACUCUUUGCGAAGACUUCAACGUCCUUUGCUCAUCGCCGGCUGAUAGUGAGGAAUAUCGACGUGUCGAUAAGACAAGACGAGUGCUGCGAUGGUGAAGCCAAUGGCAGGUUGCGCAGUAUACGCUCCUCCAGAACUUUAUCUACAAGAAGAAAAUGCUUUUCUUUCGAAGCAAAUUUUUAUUUCCGCUGAAAGCUGUGACGUACCGGAUUGAUGUAUACGUGAGACAGAAUUUAGAUGUACUGCACAGUAUGAAAUUCUGUGUAAAAUUCAAUACGCUCGAAAGAUCGUAUACAUGAAAUAUCUAUGAUUACGUAAAUGUACGCCGGUUUUGAAGAGGAUGCAUAUUUCACCGUGGCAUAACUAGAGUAAGACGAUGCUUAAUACAGCCAGCAGUGGAUUACGCACGAAAGCGCAUCGCAUGAUGACAUUGAGUGCACCGGAGGACAAUGUGAACCGUUGACGGGAGAGGAUGAGAGAUGAUAAAUAAUCACUAGUUAAAUACUUGUCGAUUAAUCAAACGCAGAAGAAUGCAGACACGCCCAGAUUCACUUUAACGCACGGAUGCUGUAAUUGUCUCGCUUCUCUAAUUAUUAACAUCAUGAUGGCAUUCCAUAAAAAUACACGAUCAAAAUCGAAA